GACGAACGCUGGCGGCGUGCCUAACACAUGCAAGUCGAGCGAAGUUAUUCCUUCGGGGAUAACUUAGCGGCGGACGGGUGAGUAACACGUGGGUAACCUGCCUUAUAGAGGGGGAUAGCCUUCCGAAAGGAAGAUUAAUACCGCAUAACAUCAGAUUCUCGCAUGGGGAUUUGAUCAAAGGAGCAAUCCGCUAUAAGAUGGACCCGCGGCGCAUUAGCUAGUUGGUGAGGUAACGGCUCACCAAGGCGACGAUGCGUAGCCGACCUGAGAGGGUGAUCGGCCACAUUGGGACUGAGACACGGCCCAGACUCCUACGGGAGGCAGCAGUGGGGAAUAUUGCACAAUGGGGGAAACCCUGAUGCAGCAACGCCGCGUGAGUGAUGAAGGCCUUCGGGUUGUAAAGCUCUGUCUUUGGGGACGAUAAUGACGGUACCCAAGGAGGAAGCCACGGCUAACUACGUGCCAGCAGCCGCCGUAAUAC
rnacentral:rRNA from 1 species